rnacentral:tRNA from 1 species
CGAGGUGUAGCUCAGUUGGCAGAGCGCCUGCUUUGGGAGCAGGAGGCCCAGGGUUCGAGACCCUGCACUUCGACCA